rnacentral:rRNA from 1 species
AUUGAACGCUGGCGGAAUGCUUUACACAUGCAAGUCGAACGGCAGCACGGGGGCAACCCUGGUGGCGUGUGGCGAACGGGUGAGUAAUACAUCGGAACGUGCCCGGUCGUGGGGGAUAACGUAGCGAAAGUUACGCUAAUACCGCAUACGAUCUGAGGAUGAAAGCGGGGGACCUUCGGGCCUCGCGCGAUCGGAGCGGCCGAUGUCAGAUUAGGUAGUUGGUGGGGUAAAGGCCUACCAAGCCGACGAUCUGUAGCUGGUCUUAGAGGACGACCAGCCACACUGGGACUGAGACACGGCCCAGACUCCUACGGGAGGCGGCAGUGGGGAAUUUUGGACAAUGGGCGCAAGCCUGAUCCAGCCAUUCCGCGUGCAGGACGAAGGCCUUCGGGUUGUAAACUGCUUUUGUAUGGAACGAAAAGGCUCUGGCUAAUACCUGGGGCUCAUGACGGUACCGUAAGAAUAAGCACCGGCUAACUACGUG